GGAUGUGAGGGCAAUCUGGCUGCAACAUCUGUCACCCCAUUGAUCCCCAGGGUUGAUUUGGCUGGGUGGGUGUCCCCUUCCUCCCUCACCACUCCAUGUGCCUCCCUCCCGGAGCUGUGUGCUAGGUUGAAGAAAACAUGUGCUCCCACUUUCCUGCAUGCUUCUCUCAAUUCAU
rnacentral:snRNA from 1 species